UUGCGGAAGAGCUGCAGAUGUUUGAGGGCUGUAUUUUACCCCAACAAAUCGCAGCACCUGUUCCACAGAGAAUACGGGAAUAGGGGGGUGCAGAGAUGGAGCCACAGGGCCAGGGGCCGCCUGCCCGUCCGGUGGGGUCCAGCCCUCCCCAGAGUCCCUGCUUGCCAUGGGCUGCCACCAGGCACCCGGCUGAGAGUGGCCUGUGCUGGGGGCCAGGCGUGGGGCUCCCCGGAGCUGCUCCCCACGGCCGGCCAGAGGGCGGCUCUUAAAACUCCUACUGGAGGCCUUUAUAAGAGGAUAAAAGCACAGAGAAGCUGAGAGAUGAAAUUGAGAAGCUCACAGAAAAAGCCCCAGAGAAGCUGAGAGGAGGCACUGAAGCCAGAUGCUAAAGCGAUGGAACCCGGGAGAGAAGGACCAGCUGACGUUGCUGUGCGCCUUCCAUGUGCCAGGGGAGCCAAGCUUGCCAGUAGCCAGACUUCAGAGAAGCUAUCGUCCUGUUGCUGCCUUAAUGUGGACAUUUGUCACAGCCUUAGAACUGUAAACUGUAAGCUAGUAAGUCCCCUUUGUUAAAAGCCAGCCCAUUUCUGGUAUACCGCAUUUCCUCAGCUUUACCAAACCAACACACCCUCCACCAGGCCCUGCGGGGGCUCCCCGUGGUCAGCCUUUGAGGCCCUGGGUGUGGUGCCGCCGGGGCCGGGGUCCCUGCAGGUCUCAGGUGAGGGGACACCUGCAGGGCCAAGAGUGGACGGGCUGGGGGAGGGGCAGGAGGACACAGGGGCCUCAGGGCUGAACCCAGAAACAGGCUUCCAGCCCAGCCCGGGACCACCUCCAGCAGGGGUCUGACUGCCAGGGAGGCUCAGCCCCCGCAGCCCUGACCCCCUCACCGAGCUCAAGGACAGCAGAGCCGCCAGCAGGAAGACCGGGCCCAUCACACCUCUGGGUGCAGGUGCUGGGGUGGGGUGGGGUGGGGGGCUCUGUAGCUCUGCCGGGAAGACCCUAAGGUCUAGCUCACGGGGGGCUCCUCACUUCCACUGUGGCUUGGCAGCUGCUCCCACCCUUCUCCAGGAGGUCCAGAGGAGGGGGGCAGUGCACAGUCUCCCCACAGCCUGCAUACCAUCCUCUGCCUCUUCCUGGCCAGCCCACCAAUGCCGGGGAAGAGACCCCCACCCUCAGACCUGGGGGUGAAAUGCACCCCUACCCUCUUGUCCCCACCACGUCCCUUGCUAGAAUGAGGCUCUCACAUCUCUUUGCUACCCUUAGGGGACAGGAACCUCAAAAUUCCCCUCCCUACCCCACAGCUGCCUUAUUGGCCACGUCAGGAGAUGUUUUGGUGGUUGUAACUGUGGGCCGGGGGGCUGGUGGCAUCUGGUGGACGGAGGCCAGGGAUGUGCUAAACAUCCGACAGUGCACAGGGCAGCGGCUCCCCACGAAGACAGACCUGGCCCCGAAGGUCCACGUGCUAAGGCCAAGACACCCUGGGGUGAGCAUUGCCUUCCACUGCUCCCAGCCCCCAACUCUGCUUCUCCACGCCAUGCCCACCCUCCGGGGAUCCUCUCAAGGGUGUAGGGGUGGAGACCCUGCUGCCCUAAAGGCCUGGGUGGUUUGUUCCCAGGCACAUGAGCCCCGUCCUGGGGGAAGAGGCAGGAAUUGGUUUGCAGGGCUUUCCCUCCCCCCGUGGGGUUUCAGAUCUCAGGGUGCCACCCCUCAUGCCCAGCUCUGGACCCAGUGGGCGAUACGUGAGGAGAGGAAUGAAGUGAGGGGGACAGAGACCCCAGAACCCACCAGCGGGUGGGGGGAAACUGAGCCCGGAAGGAAUGGGGUGAGCCAGUUAUCUGUCUUGGGAGUGCAGGGCACUAUCCCACAGAGAGCCCCCCGCCGCCUGGCACCCGGACCCCUCAGGGGCUUUGGAGACCCUGGGCAGGGCCUGAGAGGGGAGCUUGCCUCCUCCACCGUCUCUGGGUGCAGAUGGCCCUCCCACCCCCCACUCGGCUGUCUCCCCAAAUGCAUGUAUGCCUAUUACAGCUAUCACCAACCUUAUCAUGUAAAGGAUGCGUAGCACUUUACAAAUAAUAAAAAAUCCACUAGCCUACUGUCAUUUCCACAGGGUGGAGUGAUUCUCUCCAUCAUAGCCUUUAUAUCACAUGUAUUGAUUUGUUUCUUUUUUACAAAAGUAGUUAGAAUAAAAAAUAAAAUGGGGAAAUACUGGAAAGCACAAAGAAGAAAAAAUGGUCCAUAAUUCAUCAUCCAUAAAUAAACCUGUUAAUAUUUUGUUGCUCCAGUUAAAAUCUACCUUUAUCACUUAGCCGCAUAUUGUGAACAUUUUCCCAUGGCAUUAAAUAUUCUUCUACAACCAUA